AAACACUGAUGCCUAAAGGGACCAGGCAGUAGACCUGACUGGGGAGCUAAGUGAUCUCGUGUGACUCUCUAUGCCUCGUUGCCACCAGCGUGGGCCAUCUCCAGGGGCUCUCAAACCGAUAGAAGACCUUGCGGUGUGGGAAAACAGCUCCAGAGCUUCUAAGCUGAGCGGAUUGUUCCUAGUGAGGAAGUGAUACAAUUUCUUCUUGGGAUUUUCACAAAUGGCAUCAUUGUGGUGGUGAAUGGCAUUGACUUGAUCAAGCACAGAAAAAUGGCUCCGCUGGAUCUCCUUCUUUCUUGUCUGGCAGUUUCUAGAAUUUUUCUGCAGUUGUUCAUCUUCUACGUUAAUGUGAUUGUUAUCUUCUUCAUAGAAUUCAUCAUGUGUUCUGCGAAUUGUGCAAUUCUCUUAUUUAUAAAUGAAUUGGAACUUUGGCUUGCCACAUGGCUCGGCGUUU
rnacentral:lncRNA from 1 species